rnacentral:rRNA from 1 species
UACAGAGGGUGCGAGCGUUGUUCGGAAUUAUUGGGCGUAAAGGGCGCGUAGGCGGUGCGGUAAGUCACCUGUUAAAUCUCCUGGCUCAACUGGGAGCUUGCAGGCGAAACUGCCGUGCUGGAGUGUGGGAGAGGUGCGUUGAAUUCCUGGUGUAGCGGUGAAAUGCGUAGAUAUCAGGAGGAACACCUGUGGCGAAAGCGGCGCACUGGACCACAACUGACGCUGAGGCGCGAAAGCUAGGGGAGCAAACAGG